rnacentral:lncRNA from 1 species
UAAUAGAUAACAUCUAACGAACUAAAUCUUAUUCGAGUUCGUUCUUCUCCUUAAUGGAGAAAUUCAUUAUCUUAUGAUGCUAUUUUCCUUGAUAUCUUUCAAGGAAACUCAUCUAAAGUGUUACCUUUCCUUGGAUCAAAUCUAAGGAGGUAAAUACUUUAGAUGUCUUACUCAUCAACUUAUAUUUCUUGAAUUCUUUGAAACCUUUUGCAAAGUAUUCGGACUUGUGUUUAUUUAAAAUAAACUAUAGUCCAACCGAGGGUGAUCUUCGGUGAAUGUCAUCCAACAUGAGUAGUAUUAUGUUGUGAACAAGUGCCACUAACAUCUAAGUGAAUUAACCUCAACAACUUUGUGAUUCUUUCUUCUUUCCAAAAGAAUAAAGAUUCGAACAUUUCGCCUCUAUACAAUUUUAACAAGAAGGUAUUGGAUCCGGAUCUAACGAUCCAAAGCGUCCAUCUAUGACCAACUCGUAAUUUAUGUUUUAGAGGUAUCACAACUUUAGUUGGGAUUAGUCACUACCUUGCAACCUUUUGGGUUUUAAGCAUCGUUGUAUUCUAAACAGUUAACACUACCAUAUCAUCUCUACUAUAGAGACAAUCAAUUAGAUUACUAUAAUCCAAUCAUUGAUUAAUAAAGAACAAUGUUUUGUCAAACAAAACAUUCAUCCAUUUCACAUAGUGACGGAAUUUAGUUCCUUAAAAUUGGAAUUUAAAGACAAUCUAUGUUUUUCCAAUUUCUUUGGUAGUUCAUUUGGGAAAGUAAGUACCAUCUGCUUUCGCAGAGAUCUACAUUUGAUUCACGUUUCGAAUGUGAAGUACUUUCUCUUCUCUCAUUAAUCUUCUACUUCUUAUUAGUCACACUUUUACAACGAUUGUAAAACAUAGUUACUAAUACGGAAUCAAGCAUUCAAGUAGAAGAACCAACUGUUUUGAACUAUUCAAGAACAAUUUACAACACCUUCGAAAGGUGUGUUCUUGACACUUACAAGACAUUUCUUGCAAAUACCCCUUCCAAUGUCCAUCCUUUCAUAAAGAAAGUUUGUUCCCUUGGAGUUAAUUCUUAUCUUCUUCAUUUGACUUCUCCUUUGACUACCAUAGUCAAGGUCCCUAAACUCCCACUAUCUCUCUU